rnacentral:rRNA from 1 species
CCCUUAGACGUUCUGGGCCGCACGCGCGCUACACUGACCAGUGCAACAAGCAUCCGUCCUUGGCCGACAGGCUCGGGCAAUCUUUGAACGCUGGUCGUGAUGGGGAUAGACUUUUGCAAUUUUUGGUCUUCAACGAGGAAUUCCUGGUAAACGCAAGUCAUCAACUUGCAUUGAUUACGUCCCUGCCCUUUGUACACACCGCCCGUCGCACCUACCGAUUGAAUGGUCCGGUGAAGCCUCCGGAUUGGCGCGCACCUCGGUGCCGCCGAGAAGUUGGCUAAACCUUACCAUUUAGAGGAAGGUGAAGUCGUAACA